UCUUAUAUUUUUGUUUCUGUGAUUCAUUAAUAGCUUCGUAACCCAUUGUUUCCAUUCAGUUUCGGACAUAAGAUGAAACAGAUUUUCAGAAACAAGAUUGACCGACUGUUCGCUUCCGCCGUUGAUUCCUCUGUGGCGAGACAUAAUUUCUAUAUAUCCUCCGCCACCGGCAUCAUCCUGUGCCUGCUUCCCCGAGAAAACAUUGGAGGAAAUACAGUUCCGUUACUCUUCAAGGGACAGCCAUCGGCCUUCUAUGCCUUGGUGGUAUCAGUGAUCUUUACAUUCACUGGUUCGUUCACGGCGUUGAUGAUCGGAGAUAACUCCAAGACUUCAAGAUUCUGCACGCUUUAUUCCAUCGUCGCCAUGGUUUCAGCUUUGUCAAUUCUUGCUAAUGUCUUUUUAUUCUGAGUACUUCUUCAGCUUCAACUUUCUGCUUUUUGGAUGGCUGGGCUCUUAGUAAAUAACAGCCUUGCACCAAAGACUAAUAAUUUUGAUGCGUUCGACUUUGGUGUAUAUUUCUAUAUUGUGAGAGCUAUUGGAGGUAUAGAUGAGCUUCAGGGGCCUAUAUAUAAGUUUGAGGAGCAGAAAAAGGAAGAGGCUAAGUCGAGCAUCAGAUGAAAAGCUUGGUCACAUUACUGUGUGAUAUUGUAGACAAGAACAAGGUAAAGGUCUGUGUGACAGUCACAAAAAUAUGAACUUGAAUCUGUUUUUGAACUAAUUGUCUUUGUUGGUUAUACAUUAUAUUCUGUUAGAUUGAACCUAUAAUUGUAGGUAUGUUUUGUUAGAUUGAACCUUUAAUUGAAGGUACUGUUAUGCAAAGUUUAGGUUUGAAAUCAGGUGGUCAAGUUGUGGGCUUGUAGCUGAGUUGAUAUAUGUACCAAGGCUAUUAUUGCCAUUGGCUCUCCGAAUCUGAAGAAAAUUCAGCCUGAAAGACAGAUGUGCAGGAAAGGAGUAGUUUUCUAGCUGUGCAACACUCGAUAUCUAUUGCAAAAGCUUUCAACUUUUCUUAAAGCAAAAUGCUCCUGAAAAGAACAAUGCUUUUCUUUUCUUUUGCACCACGAAAGUUGUCAGAGUAAUGGAAAGUUUUCACAUCCACUACACGUUUUCUCACAUUCAUGUCAUCCUUACUAUAACCAUGACCCUGCCUCCAAUGACAUAAGCUUAUUUUAAGCAAACUCUUCUUUCUCCUCUCACGCGCCAGCCCUCGAAUUUGAGGGUACUCUGAGCGAUGCCAACAAGCCGGAACGAGGUCGUGUCGCGUGGCAAACACAUACCGGCAUCUGACGCUUUAUCCCAGGUCUGUUUGAUAUAUUGGUUUAAGCAUUAUUGCCAAGGUAACAGGAUUCUUUGCCGCUUGUCUCAUUUUGCUACAUCAUUCAUGGCUUCUGGAACCACCAGCAGCAGCAGAAACAUCAAAGGGAGCCAAACCUUUUGGGAUAGGACCUGGAUGUUAUAUAUAAAUGAGGGUAUUGCAGUAACUUGCAAUACUACUAGUGAUGGUCGAAAACCUUUCUCAAGGAAACACCAAUCUAGAAUUACUGGCUGUUUCAGUUUAUGACUGUUUGGUAAGAAUCAAGACUACUGUCGUUUCUUUCAACUGCUGAAUUCAUAUGCAAACAUUAACACAAAAACAAGGUUUAUUAAUAAACGCAUUAAACAAGCAUCUGAAGGCGGUAUCUCAAGUAUUACUUCAGAGCAAAA